rnacentral:lncRNA from 1 species
GAAGUUUGAGGUUAGAUGAGAGAAAGGAGUUGAGAAUGAGAUGAAGAGUGAGGAAGAAAUUUAUUCUGUGCAUGGAGGAAGAACAUUGCAAAUAGUUAUAGUCAAGCCAGUGUUGUGAAAAUCACAUCGCAACUCAACGAUGUGUAAAUCACGUGGCAACUGAAAAGUAAGUGUUGUUUUGCGACUUGAUUUACACGUCGGUAAAACCGAGAUAUCAU